rnacentral:misc_RNA from 1 species
AGACACAAAUUCAAGCAACUCAAACUACUCUCUAACUACACAAAUUUUUAUCAUUUAUUAAAGGCACCAAAUGCAAAACACUUUUUAAGUCCACUUUUAUUUCUAUUUUUUAGUGCAAAUGCAUAUUGACUUGCAUGUUUGUUUGUCUCACACAAUCCUAUGGAAAUGUAACUAACUUUCUGGAAAAUUUUGAUAUUAAGAUCUGAAGUUUCAAAUAUUUCCUUGUGAUUUUCAAAUUUUUCAAGCCCAAUAUUAUUUUAGGAAUUAACACAGAUGACUUUUUUCUUUCUCCUUUUUCUUCCUUCCCAAGUUUUACGUUUCCAAAAGCAAGAGUGUUCAAGCUGCAACAUAAUAUGAGAAACUGAAAACUUUCUUCUCUGAUCCAGGGAUUAUGGGUAUUUUUUUCUUAUCAUUUGUUUUAUUUCAUACACAAUUUGCAGUCUUAUUCACUUGUUUUUUUAACAUAUUUACAGACAAUCAAAUUAUAUAUACCACCUUUUGUCUACAGAGAGCUAUCAAAGGACGUAUAUUUAGAUUUAAGUUCACAGCUGAAAAGGAAAUAUACCUGAUAUAGCUGGCGUGAG